AGAGUUUGAUCCUGGCUCAGGACGAACGCUGGCGGCGUGCCUAAUACAUGCAAGUCGAGCGGGGUUAAUACGACGGACUCCUUCGGGAUGAAGAUGUAUUAACCUAGCGGCGGACGGGUGAGUAACGCGUGGGCAACCUGCCCUAAAGCCUGGGAUAACAGCGAGAAAUCGUUGCUAAUACCAGAUAUUCUAAUCUAAAGGCAUCUUAUGAUUAGGAAAGGAAACGCUUUAGGAUGGGCCCGCGUCCCAUUAGCUAGUUGGUGAGGUAACUGCUCACCAAGGCGACGAUGGGUAGCCGGCCUGAGAGGGUGGACGGCCACACUGGGACUGAGACACGGCCCAGACUCCUACGGGAGGCAGCAGUAGGGAAUACUGCGCAAUGGACGGAAGUCUGACGCAGCGACGCCGCGUGAGCGAUGAAGGUCUUCGGAUCGUAAAGCUCUGUCCUUGGGGAAGAAGGCGAAAGCUUGACGGUACCCAAGAAGAAAGCCCCGGCUAACUACGUGCCAGCAGCCGCGGUAAUACGUAGAGGGCAAGCGUUGUCCGGAAUUACUGGGCGUAAAGGGUACGCAGGCGGAUAUAUAAGUCAAAUGUGAAAGGCACCGGCUCAACCGGUGAGCGGCAUUUGAAACUGUAUAUCUUGAGUUCAGGAGAGGAGAGCGGAAUUCCUGGUGUAGCGGUGGAAUGCGUAGAUAUCAGGAAAGAACACCAGUGGCGAAGGCGGCUCUCUGGCCUGAAACUGACGCUCAGGUACGAAAGCAGGGGGAGCGAACGGGAUUAGAUGCCCCGGUAGUCCCAGCCGUAAACGAUGGACACUAGGUGUUGGGGGUUCGAAAUCCUUCAGUGCCGAAGCAAACGCAUUAAGUGUCCCGCCUGGGGGAGUA
rnacentral:rRNA from 1 species